GACGUAGGGGGCGAGCGUUGUCCGGAUUUAUUGGCGUAAAGCGUGCGUAGGCGGCUGCGCAAGUCGGGUGUGAAACCCCGGGGCUCAACCCCGGAACUGCAUCCGAUACUGCGUGGCUAGAGGUAGGUAGGGAGAUCGGAAUUCCUGGUGUAGCGGUGAAAUGCGCAGAUAUCAGGAGGAACACCGGUGGCGAAGGCGGAUCUCUGGGCCUUACCUGACGCUCAGGCACGAAAGCUAGGGGAGCGAACAGG
rnacentral:rRNA from 1 species